rnacentral:rRNA from 1 species
GAUCCUGGCUCGGGAUGAACGCUGGCGGCGUGCCUAACACAUGCAAGUCGAGCGAAGCGGUUUUAAGGAAGUUUUCGGAUGGAAUUAAAGCUGACUGAGCGGCGGACGGGUGAGUAACGCGUGGGUAACCUGCCUCAUACAGGGGGGAUAACAGUUAGAAAUGGCUGCUAAUACCGCAUAAGCACACAGCUUCGCAUGGAGCAGUGUGAAAAACUCCGGUGGUAUGAGAUGGACCCGCGU